rnacentral:rRNA from 1 species
UUAAAUUGAAGAGUUUGAUCAUGGCUCAGAUUGAACGCUGGCGGCAGGCCUAACACAUGCAAGUCGAACGGUGACAGGAAGCAGCUUGCUGCUUUGCUGA